GUCCUAGCCCUAAACGAUGGAUACUUGCUGUGAGGGGGAUUGAAACCCUUUGUGGCGAAGCUAACGCAUUAAGUAUCCCGCCUGGGGAGUACUGUCGCAAGGCUGAAACUCAAAGGAAUUGACGGGGGCCCGCACAAGCGGUGGAGUAUGUGGUUUAAUUCGACGCAACGCGAAGAACCUUACCUGGGCUCGAACGGCUAGUGACAGGAGAUGAAAGUUUCUUUUCCCGCAAGGGACAUUAGUCGAGGUGCUGCAUGGCUGUCGU
rnacentral:rRNA from 1 species